rnacentral:lncRNA from 1 species
UAUGAUUUCAUUAAUUAAUUUUGAAUAUAUAAGUUUUUAAUUUAUAUGUUAAUCAUGUUAAUCAUAAAGAUAUUAUGUAAUAAAAUUUCUGUUACAUGUACAAAAUGUAUGUAAUACUUGAGUAUACAUUUUUUUGUACAUUGUACAUGUACAUGGAUGGAGAGUUGUCUCAUUGACACUCACACCACAUCUUCCCAUAUCUAU